GCCCUCAAUGAGUUAGUCUUCACUUCCUAGUCGUUGAGGUCUUCGACGCCGUUAUUUGUCGAAGAAUGAGGGGCCUUCGAGAGUCCUCAAUAAGUUAGCCCUCCGUUCUCGCAUGACUAAGGUCUUCUAGUGCUCUACUCGCUGAAAAGCGAGGAGUCAAGAGUCCUCAGUGGGUUAGCCCUUGCUUCUUAGCCAUCAAGGUCUUCGUCAA
rnacentral:lncRNA from 1 species